UUACGGCCAUAUCACGUUGAACCACCGGUUACCAUACGAUCACAAAAGUUAAGCAACGUCGAGUCUGGUCAGUAACUAGAAGGGUAAUAGAUUGGGAAUAGCAGGUACUGUUA